rnacentral:rRNA from 1 species
AUUGAACGCUGGCGGCAGGCUUAACACAUGCAAGUCGAGCGGAGAUGAGGUGCUUGCACCUUAUCUUAGCGGCGGACGGGUGAGUAAUGCUUAGGAAUCUGCCAUUUAGUGGGGGACAACAUUCCGAAAGGAAUGCUAAUACCGCAUACGUCCUACGGGAGAAAGCAGGGGAUCUUCGGACCUUGCGCUAAAUGAUGAGCCUAAGUCGGAUUAGCUAGCUGGUGGGGUAAAGGCCUACCAAGGCGACGAUCUGUAGCGGGUCUGAGAGGAUGAUCCGCCACACUGGGACUGAGACACGGCCCAGACUCCUACGGGAGGCAGCAGUGGGGAAUAUUGGACAAUGGGCGGAAGCCUGAUCCAGCCAUGCCGCGAGUGUGAAGAAGGCCUUUUGGUUGUAAAGCACUUUAAGCGAGGAGGAGGCUACUAGUACUAAUACUACUGGAUAGUGGACGUUACUCGCAGAAUAAGCACCGGCUAACUCUGUGCCAGCAGCCGCGGUAA